CCCUGUAUCGAAAGUGACGUGGCUUCUGUGUAGCCAGGUCAUCGAGGGUACAGGAAGAACAACGCGAGAGCUUUUUCCCUGUGUUUGGAGGAUUCUCUGUUCCUUCUGAACCCUGGUUCUCUCAGACA
ensembl:snoRNA SNORA71 Small nucleolar RNA SNORA71